AACGUAGGUGGCGAGCGUUAUCCGGAUUCAUUGGGCGUAAAGAGCUUGUAGGUGGCGGCGUAAGUUGGACGUGAAAUCGCCCGGCUCAACCGGGCGGGGUCGUUCAAUACUGCGCGGCUGGAGGAGGUCAGAGGGAAGUGGAAUUCCUGGUGUAGCAGUGAAAUGCGUAGAUAUCAGGAGGAACACCGGUGGCGAAGGCGGGUCUCUGGACAGUUCCUGACACUGAGGCACGAAGGCCAGGGGAGCAAACGGG
rnacentral:rRNA from 1 species